rnacentral:lncRNA from 1 species
UUGCCCAGGCUGGUCUCUAAACUCCUAGACUCAAGAGAUCCUCCCACUUCAGCCUCCCAAACUGUUGGAAUUACAGGCAUGUGCUUUUGCAGGAAGGACGCUGGACUCUUGCACUAUAAGUUGAAAACAUCGCUUAUAAACAAUACAUCACAGCACACUUGCAGAGAGAGCACUGGUUCAUCAAAAUAAGAUAUGAUCAAGGUACAAAAGAGUUAAAGAAGCUAUUUAUUUUAAUGUUUCCUUGGAGAGCACACUUGUUAUUAUGCCUGCCCCAGCUUUGCCUUCCACCAUGAGUAAAAGCUUCCCAAGUCCUCCCCAGAAGCAGAUGCUGGCGCUAUGCUUCUGGUACAGCCUGAAAAACCUUGAGCCAAUUAAACCUCAGUGAGCUCAAGAUGUCUUUGUUGAAACAGAACCUCCCGAAGUUACAGUAUUGGUUUUGGGGCUCCACACAGAGAACACAUCACGGAAGCUAUAAUUGAGGAAGACAAAGCUGUCAGGACGACACCAAGAGAGUUAGAAAGCCCAAGAGUGGAGCAUUCUUCACCAUGAUUCCACCUGACACUUGGCUGAAAGCAUUUUGCACUAAUUUGCUUUGUGCCCGUUCAGACAAUCUAAAAAGAAAGGAUGGGGGGACAACAAGUGUCUAUUACACAGAAUAAACAGCCUCUGGCAAAUGAA